AGACUGACUCCUGUUCUCUCGCUAGCAGACCUUCCAGAACGACACAGGGAAGGAUGGAUUCUGGUGUUCAGAUAAAGAGCAGAGGGAAGACUCUAACGGCAGCCCUCAAUGAAAUAAUUUGGCACUUUUACUAGGAAAUCGUUAUAUUUACCGAAGGAAACGCUCAUUUUUGACGGCAAACAUGGAGAAACGGAGCAAAUGACUUCCAAGGCUGCCUGAGGAAGAUUAGUCAAGUACACAUAAGUCCCAAAGAAAGGUCAUUGCUCUGGAUUGGCUUCAGCCAAGGAGAGACCAGGAUGGUCAAAGGCAGAGGCUGGGAACAGAAGGCCCUCCUUCAGUCUGAAAGAGACAGCUGAGGGUAUAGUAUCAGCCUGGCAGCCUCCUGCCCUUGUUCAUACACAGUGUGAGGAUAUGGUGCUGUGGGCUGAGGUAGCCAUUUUGCAAACAUGAGAUGGUGAGUGUGAAGAAUAGGAGGUCACAACGAACACAGAGAGAAACCCUGGCUCCACCGGGAUUCAACUGGUCAGUUCGACCAACACCAGCCUCUACCUAUGUCUGUACUUUUAAGG
rnacentral:lncRNA from 1 species